GAUGAACGCUGGCGGCGUGCUUAACACAUGCAAGUCGAACGGAAAGGCUCCUGCUUGCAGGGGUACUCGAGUGGCGAACGGGUGAGUAACACGUGGGUGAUCUGCCCUGCACUUCGGGAUAAGCCUGGGAAACUGGGUCUAAUACCGGAUAGGACGAUGGCUUGGAUGCCAUUGUGGAAAGUUUUUUCGGUGUGGGAUGAGCUCGCGGCCUAUCAGCUUGUUGGUGGGGUAAUGGCCUACCAAGGCGUCGACGGGUAGCCGGCCUGAGAGGGUGUACGGCCACAUUGGGACUGAGAUACGGCCCAGACUCCUACGGGAGGCAGCAGUGGGGAAUAUUGCACGAUGGGCGCAAGCCUGAUGCAGCGACGCCGCGUGGGGGAUGACGGCCUUCGGGUUGUAAACUCCUUUCGCUAGGGACGAAGCGCAAGUGACGGUACCUGGAGAAGAAGCACCGGCUAACUACGUG
rnacentral:rRNA from 1 species